UGGGGAAUAUUGGACAAUGGGCGCAAGCCUGAUCCAGCCAUGCCGCGUGUGUGAAGAAGGCCUUUUGGUUGUAAAGCACUUUAAGCGAGGAGGAGGCUACUUGGAUUAAUACUCUAGGAUAGUGGACGUUACUCGCAGAAUAAGCACCGGCUAACUCUGUGCCAGCAGCCGCGGUAAUACAGAGGGUGCGAGCGUUAAUCGGAUUUACUGGGCGUAAAGCGUGCGUAGGCGGCUUUUUAAGUCGGAUGUGAAAUCCCUGAGCUUAACUUAGGAAUUGCAUUCGAUACUGGGAAGCUAGAGUAUGGGAGAGGAUGGUAGAAUUCCAGGUGUAGCGGUGAAAUGCGUAGAGAUCUGGAGGAAUACCGAUGGCGAAGGCAGCCAUCUGGCCUAAUACUGACGCUGAGGUACAAAAGCAUGGGGAGCAAACAGG
rnacentral:rRNA from 1 species